rnacentral:rRNA from 1 species
CAGUAGCCGCGGUAAUACGUAGGUGGCAAGCGUUGUCCGGAAUUAUUGGGCGUAAAGGGCCCGCAGGCGGUUUCUUAAGUCUGAUGUGAAAGCCCCCGGCUCAACCGGGGAGGGUCAUUGGAAACUGGGAAACUUGAGUGCAGGAGAGGAGAGUGGAAUUCCACGUGUAGCGGUGAAAUGCGUAGAGAUGUGGAGGAACACCAGUGGCGAAGGCGACUCUCUGGUCUGUAACUGACGCUGAGGAGCGAAAGCGUGGGGAGCGAACAGGAUUAGAUACCCCCGUAGUCCCUGUCUCUUAUAC